CCUACGGGAGGCAGCAGUGGGGGAUAUUGCACAAUGGGGGAAACCCUGAUGCAGCGACGCCGCGUGUAGGAAGACGGUCCUCUGGAUUGUAAACUACUGUCCCCAGGGACGAAGAUGACGGUACCUGGGGAGGAAGCUCCGGCUAACUACGUGCCAGCAGCCGCGGUAAUCCGUAGGGAGCGAGCGUUUUCCGGAAUUACUGGGUGAAAAGGGAGCGUAGCCGGGGAUGCAAGUUGGGUGUUAAAUCUACCGGCUCAACUGGUAGUCGCACUCAAAACUGCAGCUCUUGAGUGAAGUAGAGGCAGGCGGAAUUCCUAGUGUAGCGGUGAAAUGCGUAGAUAUUAGGAGGAACACCAGUGGCGAAGGCGGCCUGCUGGGCUUUUACUGACGCUGAGGCUCGAAAGUGUGGGGAGCAAACAGGAUUAGAUACCCUGGUAGUC
rnacentral:rRNA from 1 species